CGAAAACAUUGUUGAAUAACAGUAAACUAACUAUAUUACCUAUUGGCAGAAUUAAUGUUCAUUAUCAUAUUAUGUGUACCUGAUUCUUGCCAAAAAUUAUAACCAACGCUAAUUUUGUGAAUUUUGUUUUAAACGAUUUUUUAUGCAUUUCCAUCCAAUUUUUCUAGUAUCUAUUUCAUUCUGUAUAUUUUAAAUUAUAUUAUAAUUGAUUUUUUACCAACAGCAUAUUUUUCUUUGACUAUAAAACACUUAUCUCACUUCCCAUAUUUAAAUAAAACUUUAUUAAAAGAUUUGUAAUAAUUUAAUAAUUUAAAUUAAUAAUAUUUUAAGCAACAGCUAUAGUUAAAGAACUAAUUAAAGUGAUCACUGUCGAUUCGUUAAAACACAAAGUACGAUAUUCAUAUAGAACGGAAGUACGGAACACACAAGAACGUCUAAUAGUACGUAGACAUGGGAUUUAAAUCAUUACACAAUAAUGAUUUGAUAUGGCUUUGCAGGUACUUUAUUGCUUUUGGGAUUGUUCCGUAAUAAUAAAUAUAAAAAUCAUAUACAGGCAAAGUAUCCAAUAAAUUUUCUCGGGAAUUGGUGAAUCAUAAAAUUUCGUGAGUUCCAGUGGACAAGCGUUGCAAUUACAGUUGGGAAUUUAAAUAAUUUGAGUAUAGAACAUUUUUUAAUAGCGUACACAAUUGCUUAUCUGGCUUAACAAGAUUGAAGCAAAAAUUUGAAAAAAUGUCACUUGGAAAGCCGCGACAGGUUAGGUUAGGUUACUUUAACCUCCCCCCCCUGACGUAACCCACCUUGUCGUGGUGGAGGGCUCACUGACCAUUCACUUGGUCGGUGCUAAGAGGUUCCACUCAUAGCGCCGGCGCUUGCCCUAAGUGGCUGGCGCCGGAAGGUUUUUUCCACCUGCUAACACCAGCAAACGGACACGGAAGGACACCGUAAACCACCACCGGUGGAGCGACCGACCCACGGUGCCCCGGAUGGUCUCGGCCCACGAAUGAAACAAGGACAACCGACACGAGGCUGGUGUCGGCAGUGUCGGUCUAGCCACAAUCAACCAAUAUGGACAGCACAACAGAGAGCACAAACCGUACUUCUCCAGGGGGCUCGGAGACCCAGGAGGCGGCAAUGCGGGACAGCGCUCGCCCGAAGGGUCGAAAUCACCACCAGGUGCUAAAGGCGUAGGGAUGCUUAAUCAGGUCCCUACCGCCAGCAACGGAGAUGGUAAAUCUACUGCUGUCGGGGGUACUAAACAGGCCCUCGACGGUGGCCGAAAAGCCACUGAGGUUACUGCAACAGUCAAUGGUAGGAUUAAGGACACGGACAUGCGAAAGGCGACGGAAACAGGUAAAGACCAAGACACAGAUGCCAUGGCUCCUUGAAACGGAGGGGAGAAAUCCGGAGGACUGACCAGUAGCUCAACGACGACAAGGUCGAUUAAUAUCUGCCUAACCUAACCUAACGCAGCGAAGAAGAUCUUCUGACCAUGCUCCGAGGGUACAUAAAUUCGAUGGCAGUCUUUGCACAGAGCACCCGAAACGUGCACAAAGAAUUAAAAGAAACAAUUUGCAUUGUCAUGACUCAACUCACCAAAAUAUCUCCAAAAUACCAUCCGAUCUGAUUAUAGAAUAUAAUAUAUUUAUAUUAUAUAAAUACAAGCACACAAAAACUAUCAAAAAUACUUUCGAAAACGAAAGCAGACUUCGCUCAACCACCCGACUGCACUCGGUCCAAAUUUUCGGGGGCUUUAAUGAAGGUGAAGGACAUAUUGAAAAAGCAGAGCGAAGCAAUCAACAAAUUGACUACACAAACAGAGGCACUUCAACAACAACAACAACAACAACAACAACAACGACAGUAGCAACAACAGCAUCAACAGGGGUAUAGCAGGGGCAAUGAGGACGGUGGAACUUGGACCGAUGUAGUCAGGAGGAAACCAUCUAAGAGCGAACACAGAACGGAAGAAAGAAUCGCUGAAAAGAGGAUACCGUGAAGGUCAGAUGGUAGCGAACUAAAACACGCCCUACUGCAAUAUUGGUCGAUAUUGAUGGCUAGGAUGAUUUCUCUGCAGUAACGAAUAAAAUAAAGAGCCGGGUGGACCACAACACUGUAGGUAAAUCAAUUAUCGGCAUGCGAAAAACGACAAAAGGUAAACUAUUGUUGGAGGUACGUGGCGAUUCUAUGGUUGUGUACACGGUGAAGGCGGAGGUCGCUAGAGCGGCUGGAGACGACGUGCACGUCUGGCUACUUUAACAAAGAUCAAUGAUCGAGAUCCGGACAUAGACCUUUGGUCAUAGAGAACCGACGUCGUUGAAUCCCUCUGCCGGGAAAACAAUAUUCAUAGCCAAAUGGUAAACGUUAUCAAUAGAAGGUCUGUAUAUGGCAGAUCGCAGACAGCACUGGUGCUUCUGCCUACUGAGUACGCAAACAAGGUUAUCGAUUACGAGCGGGUUAAAAUCAGUCUGGUGAACUGCCGAGUACGUCUAGCGGACAAGCGUCGGAUUAGGUACUUCAGGUGC